CUACGGGAGGCAGCAGUGGGGAAUAUUGGACAAUGGGGGCAACCCUGAUCCAGCCAUGCCGCGUGUGUGAAGAAGGCCUUUUGGUUGUAAAGCACUUUAAGCAGUGAAGAAGACCUAACGGUUAAUACCCGUUAGCGAUGACAUUAGCUGCAGAA
rnacentral:rRNA from 1 species